UGGAUGAACGCUAGCUACAGGCUUAACACAUGCAAGUCGAGGGUCAGCAUGGUCUUAGCUUGCUAAGGCCGAUGGCGACCGGCGCACGGGUGAGUAACACGUAUCCAACCUGCCGUCUACUCUUGGACAGCCUUCUGAAAGGAAGAUUAAUACAAGAUGGCAUCAUGAGUCCGCAUGUUCACAUGAUUAAAGGUAUUCCGGUAGACGAUGGGGAUGCGUUCCAUUAGAUAGUAGGCGGGGUAACGGCCCACCUAGUCUUCGAUGGAUAGGGGUUCUGAGAGGAAGGUCCCCCACAUUGGAACUGAGACACGGUCCAAACUCCUACGGGAGGCAGCAGUGAGGAAUAUUGGUCAAUGGGCGAGAGCCUGAACCAGCCAAGUAGCGUGAAGGAUGACUGCCCUAUGGGUUGUAAACUUCUUUUAUAAAGGAAUAAAGUCGGGUAUGGAUACCCGUUUGCAUGUACUUUAUGAAUAAGGAUCGGCUAACUCCGUGCCAGCAGCCGCGGUAAUACGGAGGAUCCGAGCGUUAUCCGGAUUUAUUGGGUUUAAAGGGAGCGUAGAUGGAUGUUUAAGUCAGUUGUGAAAGUUUGCGGCUCAACCGUAAAAUUGCAGUUGAUACUGGAUAUCUUGAGUGCAGUUGAGGCAGGCGGAAUUCGUGGUGUAGCGGUGAAAUGCUUAGAUAUCACGAAGAACUCCGAUUGCGAAGGCAGCCUGCUAAGCUGCAACUGACAUUGAGGCUCGAAAGUGUGGGUAUCAAACAGGAUUAGAUACCCUGGUAGUCCACACGGUAAACGAUGAAUACUCGCUGUUUGCGAUAUACUGCAAGCGGCCAAGCGAAAGCGUUAAGUAUUCCACCUGGGGAGUACGCCGGCAACGGUGAAACUCAAAGGAAUUGACGGGGGCCCGCACAAGCGGAGGAACAUGUGGUUUAAUUCGAUGAUACGCGAGGAACCUUACCCGGGCUUAAAUUGCAGAUGAAUUACGGUGAAAGCCGUAAGCCGCAAGGCAUCUGUGAAGGUGCUGCAUGGUUGUCGUCAGCUCGUGCCGUGAGGUGUCGGCUUAAGUGCCAUAACGAGCGCAACCCUUGUUGUCAGUUACUAACAGGUUCCGCUGAGGACUCUGACAAGACUGCCAUCGUAAGAUGUGAGGAAGGUGGGGAUGACGUCAAAUCAGCACGGCCCUUACGUCCGGGGCUACACACGUGUUACAAUGGGGGGUACAGAGGGCCGCUACCACGCGAGUGGAUGCCAAUCCCCAAAACCUCUCUCAGUUCGGACUGGAGUCUGCAACCCGACUCCACGAAGCUGGGUUCGCUAGUAAUCGCGCAUCAGCCACGGCGUGGUGAAUACGUUCCCGGGCCUUGUACACACCGCCCGUCAAGCCAUGGGAGCCGGGGGUACAAGAAGUGCGUAACCGCGAGGAGCGCCCUAGGGU
rnacentral:rRNA from 1 species